CGCGACCCCAGGUCAGGCGGGAUUACCCGCGUGAGUUUA
rnacentral:rRNA from 1 species